CAAAGCAGCAACAACAUGCCACUGUUCUCUACUCCCAUUCCAGUAGUUGCACCUUCUAAUGAUAAUCCAUAGCAACCCAUUUGAGCUCGAUGGAUCAAGACACAGGCUGCCGGCUUUUAAACCAUAGAUGAAACCACAGCUUAUGAAGAGAAUACAGACAGCGUUAGAGGAUCCCUGAAUUGGGAGUCGUCACGCCGGCUUUCUCCACACAGAGAGACGAGGGCAGACACAUACAAACAUUGCAAUGCCAGAUGUCUGAUUGAUGGCACACCUCGUCAGCUUGCAGCUUGGUCGGGAAAGAUUGGCACAGCGGCGACCUGGCACGUCCGACGCCGAGCACUAGGCCCCGGUGCUUUGCUGUUUGGCAAGGCAGCGCCGCUAAACGAAGGUUCCGGAAGGGGGGUUGAAAGACACAUGACCUACACGGCGUGUCUGUGGCACUUGCUGCCAAGCAACGUUUAAACUCACCAGGGUGUCAUGGUGAACAAGUGGAUAGAUGAAUGCACAGGCAGUCAAUAUUUCAUUCAAUCACAGUUUAACAAUGGAACACAAGAAAGAACUGCCACAUGGUGAUGGAGAGCACACAGCCAGAACAGUUGAAAUAGCACGUGUACUUUGGAGUUAAUAAAGCAUGUGCCACAGCAACCUGGGAACGUGAACAGAUGAUCCCCAAGGUGCUUUUCAGAGAGGAAAUACAUUGCUGCCUCCAGCAGAUUCUGAAGUCCCCUCGGGGUCCCAGCACACACCACAGAGGUUGUCACCAAGGAAAACGUUCAAGGAACCGUGCAGAUUUUUUAGGUUGGCUCCACAUAAAUCUCACCUGUGCUUUCACAUCUGAGAAAAUGUAGGAUGAAAAGAAACCUCAGUACAUAUUUGACUCAUAUGAAAUGUUUUUUUACUGUAAGUCAACCCUAUGCUUAUUUGUAAAUAGUCAAUAUUAAAAUAGCAUAUCAGCUUUCUAGAAAGUUUAGAUAAUUUACAUGUUAUCAGACUGUGAUAUAUAGUGUACGUUGCAUUUAGUUUAGACAUCACGAUCACACUCCACACCCCCAGAUGGCAGUAUACUGUCAAGGCUGAUCCGAGGCCAUUGACUGUUUGGAGUUGAUCAAAGGAAGAGUGUGAACAGCCUUCAGGCUUUUUUUGGGCUUGGGACAUCAGGAUGCCAAGUUGAGAUGUGAGAGAUGGUUGUUUGGUUUGCUCCUACACAUGGUGACCGGAUGCAGGCCUGUGGCGGUCAUGGCAUUUUGUUAAUCAGUUAUUGUCAUGCAAAUGAGCGCCGGUCUCAUGGUAAUUGACCAUGAAUUUACGUAAACAUGUUCAGCAUCUCCAGGGCCCCACGCAUACAGGCCGCUGAUGCUGCCUUUGGAACGUUUACAUUUUACAAAGUCUAAUAAAUCAAUUUAAUAUACACCAUCACAAUAAACCCAUUAUUUAUUUUAGGCAUGUGUAAGGAAACAUUAUGAUAUGAAGAAAAUGUAUUUCAGAGGAACAGAAUAUGAGUCGGCCUAUGGUAUGUUAUCUGGCUAUGUGCCGUUUAUAGUAGGCUAGCAGACAAGAUAUGCUUAUAAGUCCAAUGCCAUUAUUAUAUAUUAUUUGAUAGUAACAAGAAUAUAAUUGCACUUAGCUAAAUAAAAUAUAAAUGAUAUUUUUCCUGUUGCGUAGCGAGUGCUCAUAUGAAGGGGCUACGUUGAGAGUAAAAGUGAUCCUUUGAAAUACACGACAUUUGGAGUUAUUUGGCAACUUUAGUUGUGAAUGAUACAAACCUUAGAAUGUCUUAGAAAUCAAAACAUAUAUGGGAUGCAUGAUGCGACUAUAGGAUGUUGACGAUUUGAGAGAGUCGCAAAAAAAAAGCUUGCGCUCUGUUCCUUGCCUCAGGCUGCACACUCUGUGCUCUCAUCAAGUGAUCAUAUUUUCACCCAUCGGACUAUUCUCAAUUUAAUCUUUAGUAAUGUGAAAGUUGUUUCGAUUUAGAAUACCCCAUUAUCAAAUGGGCAGGAACAGAGGCAGGGGAAAAAAUGAAUUUAAUCCGUAGGCACUCGAAUAGCUAAUGGAGGGCGCUUUCCCGCAGUUAGUUUUUCAAUCAUGCUAGGUAGGCUACUCCGGCGGAGCACAUGCUUAAUAAUAUUAUCAGCUGAAAAACAAGUAUUGUAGCAGGUGGGGUCCUCCUUUUAGUGGCAAUUCAUCAAAACUCUGCUUUCACAUGGGAUUGCAUAUAUAAAUGUCUGGGUUUAUAAAUAGACUUAUUUCACUCCACGCAUUAACCACUGUUUGAGGAGCAUGCAGCCUCUCGCUGUGCGACAGCGGAUAUUGGGCUCUCCAACACUGUUUCUGCAGCUUCCCAGUGCUUAAUUUGGGAAGCCAAGUGAAAUCUGUGCGGGAACAUCAACAGUAACAUGUUAGGGAGUGAACGUUAUUCAUAAAAAGGGUUACAUGGAGAAAAUCGUAUCUCUCUGAAAUGAAAAUGGAUGAAAUAUAUUUUACCUAAACCCUCCCUAAACACAAAAAUAAAAGUUAAAAGUGACCCCCCCCCUACUCAAAAUAACAAUUAAAACAAAGUGGAUAGCAGAGAACAUGUCCAAUCUUUACCCUCACUUAUUGGACAGACCAGAGCCUUAGCUAUGCAGUUUUAGAAACUGUUCUUUGUCCUGUAAGCAUUACAUAGCAAUGCUAGAAUUUUGAUAGCACACAGGGCUGGGAGCCAGAAGGUUGUGGGUUUGCAGACCACCGUGCACUAGAGUAGGGGUGGAAAGAUAUAUUUAUAGUAAAAACGCUGCAUGAAUCUAUCAUCGUAUUUGCAGGUCCAAUAAUUUUUUUGCCUUUUAUAAACAUAUCAUGCAAUUCUACAUAAUUCUACAUAUUAGCGGGAGCUUUUUUAAUACCACACAAAUAACAGAAAUUACAGGCUAAGAAAGGACAGAGACAUAGGCCUAUAUGUGUUCAUCUUAUCGUAUUUCUCCAAUGCCAAAUCAGUGUGUCUUGUUUGAAAAGAAACUGUCCCUGUUUGCAAAUAAUUCAAAUAAUUUGGAUUCUGAGCAUGGUACUUUCAUUAUUUAGGCCUACUUUUCCACCCCAGACACUACCACUACCAACACAGAAAAAUGUAAGCUUUAAUUAACUUCUGGCUAUUCUUCUUCCUUGGCUUAACCCAACGAGAGAAGUUCGCAAGUGUUUCCCUAAAAGCUGUCUGGUUUUCAGCGUCUUCUAUUGUACAGAAAGUGAAUAGCUUCAUCAAUUGAUAGUGACAGAGUUAGAAUACUUCCCAAGCAAAGUAACCUCUGAAUGUCAAAGAAACAAAACAAUGAUAUCCCCAAAUGCAAUGGGGUCGCGCUCCAAAACAAAGCCCUUUGUUGUUAGU
rnacentral:lncRNA from 1 species